GCCGAAGUGGUGAAAUGGUAUACACGCUGUCUUCAGGUGGCAGUGCUCGCAAGGGCGUACGAGUUCGAGUCUCGUCUUCGGCA
rnacentral:tRNA from 1 species